UUUGGUGUAAGUGGAGUGAUGGAACUCAAGUUCCAUCACUUCCAUUAUUUGUUUUGGUGUAAGUGAAAAUUAUAAUGUAACUCAAGUUAUGUUAGAGCUCCACUUCACCUACUCUCGACUUCCGGCUCUAAAGUACCGAACUCGACUUCCACCACACUCAACCUUUUCUAAACAAUUUAUUAAACAGUAAAACCUAAACUCUACUUUCUUUAUAAUGGGUUAGAAUUACCUUAUUUAUAAUAAAUUAAGAUUAUCUUUAAAUAAUAAUAAAAAAUUUAAUUAUAUAAUAGGUUAAAUUUUAUAGUAAUAAAUUUAUUACUAUAUUUAGGAGAUAAUGGGAUCCACUUACUUACAUCAAAACAAACAACGGAACUCAAAAAACUAAUUUUACCAACACCAAGUUACAUCAAAACAAACAGCAGAAGUGAUUGAAUUUAACUUUCAGUGAUACGAGUUACGUCAAAACAAACAACAGAAAAAUAAUCACACUUCAGGAAAACUCAAACACCACUACACUUGACUUACGUUGAAUCUACAAAUUCGUCAAUCCAAACGCCCAAGCAGAUAAAAAUGCAUUUUCUAUUAUUUCCAUCCUA
rnacentral:lncRNA from 1 species